rnacentral:tRNA from 1 species
UCGUUAGCUCAGUUGGUAGAGCACCGGACUUUUAAUCCGUUGGUCCUGGGUUCGAGCCCCAG